rnacentral:rRNA from 1 species
GACGAACCGUGCGAACGUUGUUCGGAUUCACUGGGCUUAAAGGGCGCGUAGGCGGGCUUGCCAGUCAGGGGUGAAAUCCUCCGGCUCAACCGGAGUAGGGCCUUUGAUACUGCAAGUCUUGAGGGAGGCAGGGGCAUGUGGAAUUCCAGGUGGAGUGGUGAAAUGCGUAGAGAUCUGGAAGAACACCAAAGGCGAAGGCAGCAUCCUGGGAAGUUCCUGACGCUCGGGUGCGAAAGCCAGGGGAGCGAACGGG